rnacentral:tmRNA from 1 species
GAAACACAGCUGCCAACGACAGCAACUACGGCCAACUGGCCAUCGCCGCCUAAUAAGCGGUGACAUCCUCGCCUGAGGUGCUCCCAGUAGGGACGAGGGUGUUAUCACGGGGAGCUAGCUUGAAGGGACGCCCCGACCUUUCGGCGAAAUCCAGGGGAUCGGCGCUUGGAGGGCCUGUCGGCGGGCAUGCCAAGCGCUCAGAUCAAGUCCACCGACUACGCGCGUAGAGGCUCAGCCUGAUGGCUUCCGGACCCGGGUUCGACUCCCGGCGCCUCCAUAC